rfam:Felis catus isolate Cinnamon breed Abyssinian chromosome A2, whole genome shotgun sequence.
GCCUGGGUGGCUCAGUCGGUUGAGCGUCCGACUUCGGCUCAGGUCAUGAUCUCACAGUCUGUGGGUUUGAGCCCCGCGUCGGGCU